rnacentral:rRNA from 1 species
GUCGAACGGCAGCACAGGCAGAGCUUGCUCUGUGGGUGGCGAGUGGCGGACGGGUGAGGAAUACAUGGGAAUCUGCCCAGUCGUGGGGGAUAACGUAGGGAAACUUACGCUAAUACCGCAUGCGCCCUUCGGGGGAAAGCCGGGGACCUUCGGGCCUGGCGCGAUUGGAUGAGCCCAUGUCGGAUUAGCUAGUUGGCGGGGUAAUGGCCCACCAAGGCGACGAUCCGUAGCUGGUCUGAGAGGAUGAUCAGCCACACUGGAACUGAGACACGGUCCAGACUCCUACGGGAGGCAGCAGUAGGGAAUAUUGGACAAUGGGCGCAAGCCUGAUCCAGCCAUGCCGCGUGAGUGAAGAAGGCCCUCGGGUUGUAAAGCUCUUUUGUCCGGAAAGAAAAGCGCCGGGUUAAUACCCUGGUGUCCUGACGGUACCGGAAGAAUAAGCACCGGCUAACUUCGUGCCAGCAGCCGCGGUAAUACGAAGGGUGCAAGCGUUACUCGGAAUUACUGGGCGUAAAGCGUGCGUAGGUGGUUUGUUAAGUCUGAUGUGAAAGCCCUGGGCUCAACCUGGGAAUUGCAUUGGAUACUGGCAGGCUAGAGUGCGGUAGAGGGUAGUGGAAUUCCCGGUGUAGCAGUGAAAUGCGUAGAGAUCGGGAGGAACAUCUGUGGCGAAGGCGACUACCUGGACCAGCACUGACACUGAGGCACGAAAGCGUGGGGAGCAAACAGGAUU